rnacentral:rRNA from 1 species
CCCUUAGAUGUUCUGGGCCGCACGCGCGCUACACUGAUGAAUUCAACGAGCUCCUAACCUAGGCCGAAGGGUCCAGGUAAUCUUUGAAAUUUCAUCGUGAUGGGGAUAGAUUAUUGCAAUUAUUAAUCUUCAACGAGGAAUUCCUAGUAAGCGCGAGUCAUCAGCUCGCGUUGAUUACGUCCCUGCCCUUUGUACACACCGCCCGUCGCUCCUACCGAUUGAAUGGUCCGGUGAAAUGUUCGGACCGCGACAAGGCGGACGGUUCGCUGUCAGCUUUGCUGCGGGAAGUUCAUUAAACCUUAUCAUUUAGAGGAAGGAGAAGUCGUANCA